ACGUUCAUCGGAGCAGGGUGAGUCGGCCCCUAAGGCGAGGCAGAGAUGCGUAGCUGAUGGGAAGCAGGUUAAUAUUCCUGCACCGUCGUAUGAUGCGAUGGGGGGACGGAUCGCGGAAGGUUGUCUGCCUGUUGGAAUAGGCAGUUUCUGCUUCAUAGAAGGCGCUUAGGCAAAUCCGGGCGCGUAAUUCAAGGGAGUGGGACGAGUGAACUUGUUCACGUAGCAAUCGGAAGUGGUUCCAAGAAAAGCCUCUAAGCUUCAGUCAUAC
rnacentral:rRNA from 1 species